rfam:Peptoniphilus lacrimalis 315-B contig00011, whole genome shotgun sequence.
ACCUUAUUAAGAGUGGUGGAGUGAAUGGGCACUUUGAAACCCGGCAACCUAAUUGGUGCUAAAUCCCACAGAGUUAUUCUGAAAGAUGAGGU